rnacentral:hammerhead_ribozyme from 1 species
GCACUGCUGAGGAGUCCCAUAAUAGGAUAAAACGACCGUCCAGUGC